rnacentral:rRNA from 1 species
CACCGGCAGCUCAAGUGGUAGCUGUUUUUAUUGGGCCUAAAGCGUUCGUAGCCGGUUUGAUAAGCCUUUGGUGAAAGCUUGUAGCUUAACUAUAAGAAUUGCUGAAGAUACUGUCAGACUUGAAGUCGGGAGAGGUUAGAGGUACUACCGGGGUAGGGGUGAAAUCCUAUAAUCCUGGGAGGACCACCUGUGGCGAAGGCGUCUAACUGGAACGAUCUUGACGGUGAGUAACGAAAGCCAGGGGCGCGAACCGG